AUGUCAGUUUUGCAUUGUCUGUCAACCAUGUCAACCACGCAAAUGAGCAGUCUGAACAUACUUACACAGUGCAAUUUUAUUUUGGUCCUGCAUUUGCACCUAUGUGCACUCCCGGUAAUAUCACUUUUGCCAUCCUGUUGUUGCUCUGAAUGUACUAUGGCUGUGAUUACUUGUGGCCAGGGCUGCAGAAAAAGGGGAGACAACUGGACUGGACUGUAUCGUGGAGGUGGGGCCCAGAAAAUCAAACAUGAUUUCAACCGAUGGGGACUCCCGGGAAGCAAGCGUGAUGAAGGAUUUGUACUGAGCUCAUGUGGCUCUACUUGUGGCCUAGUUCCUAUUAGCCAAUCACAGAUGUGCUCUCAAUUAUUGUGAAGAGUGCAUGCACUCCUAGCGGCUCCAAACGGGAAUGCCAUCUUGUAGUUUAAGAUUUCAGCUGCCCCUGCCUCCAUCGGUCCUCCCAAAGCUUCCCCUCCCCUGCUUUCUGUAUUGAUGGAGAUAAUAACUGCUGAAUGGAAUUCCAGGUUCCCAUGGAUGUCAGCCUAGCCACUAGACGGCACACCGCACACCCCCACCGUCCCCUAUCCUGCCUCCCUGCCGUGAAUGAGAAAGAAACCGAAAGCAUCUCUUCUGGCAGGUUUUUGCUGCUAAGCUUUGAGGAAAUCACGUAAGCAUGUCAUCUAUGUUCCCUCAGUUGGUCAUUAUUCCAAAGUAAACCCAAACCGGGCUACUGCAUACAGUCAGUCAUUAUCCUAAAGUGAUCAGAAUCCUGAUGCACAACGGAUUAUAUUUACCAAAUAAACAAAUGAUUUCAGUCAGAUUUCAUAAAGUGGCAUCCUUUCCCUAAAAAAACUAAAGUGAAGAGUGGUUUCACGUCAUAGCUGCUCCUAAUCCCAGGUAUUUUAGCCAAACCAGAAAGUUCAGCGCUCCAGACCGCAUCUGUUUUAUGAAGAAAUUAUAUUUGACAUCCAAAGUGACAAAGCAAGAGAUUUCUAUUAAAGGUCACCAGACUGAGGCACUGCUUUAGAAAGUUUUCUCAUGCUCGCAGAGAGAGCGAUCCAGCUGUGGUGUGGUUCAUAUUCCCGUACACCCACACACCCUCCAGCAGCCAGCAGUAACCCAUGCGUGUGCGGCCCAUCCAAACUGGCAGCCCUCCGCCCGCAGCAGCCCAAACGCCCACAGCCACACAGCGACACGGAGAUCAACGCUCCCCUGACAAGCGGGAAGUCUUGGCUAACGUCUGCAAUGAGUCCACUUAACAUGCCUAUUAAAAGGAAUAAAUCACUGGAGCACACACAUGUGAAAAGAGUACUGGCUGGACAUCCAUCACAGUGGCACCGAGAGAUGUGUCCAAGGUGUCCUGCAUCCUCGGUUCAGGUGUGGGAUGAAAGAUGGUGAAGUGGGAAUGUCUUCAACAGUCUGUCUCUGUAAGGUCACAGGAAUAUUGUACAGUCAUGAAAUAAAGCUUCGACGCUCGCUGGGACCAAAUGGUGGACUGUUUUUCUGUUCUGCUGUCAGUCUUUGGGAGGCAGGAGCGCUUUGAGGAAAUGGUUUGGAUGGAGCUUAAAGCAUGCUGUGCGCGCAUUCACAUGCAGUGGGGUUUGGCACCGGGCCCUCUUUAAGCUUCAGCCUCAAAUUAUUCUCAUUAAUGGCUCCUCCAAGGGGAAAUGGCCAUUUGUCUGCGUGUGAUACUUGUACCUACGAGGCUGUUGGGGUUUUGGAGCUCCACCAAUGAGAAAAAUACAUUUCAUUGCCCAAGGUCAGAGGUCCCCAGCUGGAAAACCCACAGAUAAGUUUUGGCCAGCAGAGCCUCCGAAGGACUGGAAGGCUAUUGCGGAAGAAAAAAAAUGGGAAUUUAGACAUUGACGUCACUUGCUUCUGACAGCGAGACAAUCAAGGUCUCCUUACACAAGUGGUGUAAAGUGAUUAACCAGCAGCCUUCAUCACACGAAUCAGUUCCAACUGCUCCCUCACGUCACUUCAAACCCGUCGAACAGACUGAAAUUCAAGUCGUUAUCCAUUAAAAUGCUGGUUCACUGUAAUAGAUCAUAGCACAUGUGAAAACCCAUAAUGUUUGCCAUCUAUUGGAACUGAAAGUAGGCAAAGCUUUCAUAAAGCUUCAGAAGUCCUACGGACUACUUUUGUGUCACUUUAAUGGCACUGUUAAGAAGUUCUUUUGUUCUUUUUGCAGACGUUGGUCACCCGUCUACAACGGCUGUGCGGGAAAAGAGCGAAAGCAAGUCAUACUGACGGGGUGAGUACAUGAUGACAGCUUUUUCAUAUUUGGACGAAAUAUUCCUUGAAAUGGCAGGACAGAGAAAAAGAUCUUGCUGAAAAGGGAGCCGUGGCUGGAGCUUUACGGGUGUGACUUAGGGAUUGAAUUCCUGUCAUGCGAUUGGACGGAGUCAUGAGGACACAAAGAAACACAGGGAGGUGGUGCUGGAGGGCUGAGAAAAUCCCCUUUGGCACAAGCUUCUGUAAUUAAUUCAGGAAAAAUUCAUCACAGCAGGCUUCUCGCAACCCACAGCUCCUCCAAGAGACACGCACCAACCCCCUCGUCCACUUCCAUUUAUUUAUUCGCCUCCUCAGAAGUUGCAUGCUACAUUUGCACGGCCGACUAGGAAGUGUGAGGCACUGUACAAACAUGUUGAUGUGAAAGCUCCUGCAGCAGCGGGGGUGUAGGGGUGUCGGAUGUGCCCUCCC
ensembl:lncRNA